GCGAGGGCAGGAGGCCCCCGGCAGGCGACAGCGUGCAGUUCAGCCCAGCGCUCUGCCUGCUGCCUCUCCCGCCGGCGCUGGUCCUCAGCACCAGAAUGAUGUGCUUCUGCUCCUGCUGCAAUAUUUCUAAGAAGCGAUUUACAAGAGGACUAUUUCAACUGAGAAUGCCCUAGUGAGACUGGAAGAGACAACAAGGAAUUGGGCAGACAUCUUGCUUUCCAGUAAUUUAUAAGCUCAUCCUUUGUUUAA